AAGUAGCCUUCAAGCCUCAGUACCUGGCAGACUGGACUUCGGACUUCGAGCUCCUAAGCAGAAAAAAAGGAGUCUUUUUUCACUUGGCUCCCUUGCGUUUCAAGGCUGGGAACAUACUGCUUUGAGGACCACCAUAUAGGGGUACGCGCUUCUCCAAACCUUGGAACCCCAGGGUUAGCCUUGGAACGAGUCGUUGCCGCCUCACUGUCUUCUGCCUGGAGAAGCCCCAGCCCCUGCGCCACUGCAGGAACACCGUGCCAGGCUUCUUUUGUGGUCCCAAUCGCCGUCAGUUUCUUGAGAUUUCAGACUUUGGGCAUGGAUACCAGCUGACCGCCUUUCUCAGCGAGGUGCCAUCGGAAACCUGUGGAGAAACUUUUGAACUGUGGUUGGUCAAGCUGCCGAGGCAGAGCUUAGGGCUUUGGUGCCUCAGCCCCUGGGGUCAGCGGUGGCGUGGACCGGACAUUGCAGAAGCACUUCUCUGCGGUGUUUUGUCGUGAGCCCUUGAAAGCUGCCGACUUUCUAGAAGUCUCUUCUGAAGAAGUCCAUGAGCUCUGCUGGCUGAGGGGCAAACCAGUGGCCUCCACCCCAGCCCCGUGCCCUGGACAGCUUCCUAACACGGAGGUGAGGCAGAACCCCACCUGUCCAGACGCCGGGGUCCUUAGGACUGAGGUCACAACACACACUUUUCUCUGCAAAGGGCUCAGGAGAUGCAUUGCUGCUGUGUCCAGUGGGGGGUGGGGGGGCGAUGCAGAGCCGUGAAUAAGGGGCAAACGGAUCAGCACAGAGGGGGUUCCCAGUGACCUCAGAAAAUGACCAAAUUGUGCAGUCUGUAAUCCCAGCACUUACAAGUGAGUUCCAGGCCAGUUUGGUGCACUGGUCUACAUACUGAGUUCCAGCCAGGGCUACAGAGUAAGACUCUGUCUCAAAAACAUAACAAGUCCCAAAUCUCCAGCUCCUGGCAGAACUUGAGGGGCCUCUCCUUAGGAGCCCCCUUUUAGCACUUUACGUGAGGUCUACGUAAGACCCAAGACUACAAUCUUUGGGGGUGUCUAGGCGACCAUUUCACCUUGACCACAGGGUUCCAGGAUGUAUGGUCCUAGCUCAGCUACACCUGUGAGAGGGACUUCAACAGAUCGCUUGACUCACAGGAGUGAGAGCCGUGGUGGCAGUGUGGCCAGCCUUGGGUCCCAGGGGGUCACCAGGGAUAAUUAGCUGGUGACCUUGUCCCUGUGAGAUCCUGAAUUCUUCAAACUUGAGGGCUUGCUCACCUGAUCUGCCCCAGAAGGCAUGCCCAGAGCCCAGCAGCCCUCCAUGAGGCUGUACCCAGGAGUACUUUGAAGAAAGAAAAUAGGUUUAGGGUGGUGAAUGGGUGGGGCUUGGGGAGGAGGGGCAACCCCAGACCUGCCGGAAUGGAGCUCCUAAGGGUCAUCGUAAACCAGGGAACUGGCUCCAGAUACAGCUUGUAAAAUGGCCUAGGCCUGCCUUUUCAAUUUAUCAGUGUAUGUUACUCAUACAAAAGAAUGGGCUUUGUCCUGACAUUUCCAUGCAUGUGUAGAAUGUCUGUUAUAACCUAGUAAUCCAGAGCUGGUCCCAACCCCGGUAGGCAGAGCCUGCUUCCCAUCAGCCUCCUGGGGCCAGAUUAUCUCGGGUGGGGAGGGCAGGAGGCAGGGGUGUAUGUACUUUCAGGUGUGUACCAUACUUUGAAGACACAUUCUGUUUCUACUGUAUUCCUGCCUGGGCAAAAUAGCCCUGGCAGCAUCUUAAAGGCCCCUGAGAGAGAUUUGAGAUGAAAGUCCCUGAAGCUGCUAACCCACGGCUUGGGAGGCAGAAGCAGAAGAACUGCAAGUUUGAGGUCAGUCUGGGCAAGACCUAGUUGAUGGGUAUUCUCCACCUAUGAAAUGAGCCAGUGGAAGCCAAAUUAAAGCAUAAAAGGUAGGUUUAUUGGGGGCAGCUCUUUCAGGUGGAUUCACAGGUCCCAAUGAACAGGGGUGUAGGGGAGUGGGGGCAGGGAAGACACCAUGCAGACAGGGAGACAGAAAAGGGAGGAAGGAAGAAAGUAAGACUGUGUGAAUGAAGAGAGAGAGGAGAAAGAGACAGAGAGAGAGAGAGAGAGAAAGAACCAAAAUGUCUGAAUUAUAUAGUGAAGAGCCUCUGGAGGAGAGGAAGGAAAGGAAGCCCAGCCCCUCGGCUGGAAAGUUCAGCAUAAAGGGCCCAGUAUGCCAGCCAUGCCCUGUAACAGAUGGGGACUAAGGGAUGCUGGGAGAAUAUGGGUCUGCUUUGAUAUGUUAAAUAGGCUUGCCCAGGUCUGAAACUCAACACCUGUCUCAAGAAAAGAAAGGAAGAAAGAAGGAAAGAAGGAAGGAAGGAAGGAAGGAAGGAAAAGAAAAAGAAAGAAAGAAAGAAAGAAAGAAAGAAAGAAAGAAAGAAAGAAAGAAAGA